AAGGGAGAAAGGGAAAUCGAAAGGGAAAGGAAGAGGAGAUGGGGAAGGAAAAAGAGGAAAGGGAAAGUGGAUGGGGGCGAGGGGUUCAUGCAAUAGGGGUAUAGGAGGUGGCCGAUUUGGUGAGGGAGUGGUUCGGCGGUGAUGUCGAGGGCUAUAGAGGGGAACUUGGCCGGACGGGUAAUGGGGGGUUCGGUAUAGCUAGGGUGUUGGGGUGAGAAAAAG
rnacentral:lncRNA from 1 species